UUUUUCAAUUCAGGACAAUUUUCUACAAAUAGAAACAUAAGCGUUGAGAAUGAAAAUAAAAAAUAUAUAAGUUUUAUUUUAGAAGAGAUCAGGUGUCAAUAAAAAAGAUAGAUCAUGACUAAGUUACGUUUAUUACUUCUGAAGAUCCUAGCUAGCUAAACAAAUCCAUAACAGACGGGAUAAAAGGCGCGUGAAAGAAAGAUAUGAGAGGCAUAGGUACACGUGUGAUAUUAACGUUUUGACUCCAGUACCUUAACUUUUCCUUGCGGCUCCAGUCCGCACUGAUCGAUCAAGAGAGGAGAAGCGCUAUUUUGUAUCUAUCGCCUGUUGAUUCUACAUGCUGAUUAAAUAUAUAUUACGAAGCCAUUCCUUGUUACCGUGCCCAGGGGAAUUCAAUAAAGGCUAAGGCACAGGUAUCCUAACACUAAACGAGGAAGAGCAAAGAGGUAUCCUAACACAAGACGAGGAAAAGCAAAGAGGUAUCGCAACACAAAACGAGGAAAAGCAAAGAGGUAUCCUAACACAAAACGAGGAAAAGCAAAGAGGUAUCCUAACACUAAACGAGGAAAAGCAAAGGGGUAUCGCAACACAAAACGAAAAAAAGCAAAGUGGUAUCCUAACACAAAACGAGGAAAAGCAAAGAGGUAUCCUAACACAAAACGAGGAAAAGCAAAGAGGUAUCCUACACUAAACGAGGAAAAACAGAGGUAUCCUAACACAAAACGAGGAAAAGCAAAAAGGUAUCCUACACAAAACUAGGAAAACCAAAGAAGUAUCCUAACACAAAACGAGGAAAAAGCAUAGAGGUAUCCUAACACAAAACGAAAAAAAGCAAAGUGGUAUCCUAACACAAAACGAGGAAAAGCAGAGGUAUCCUAACACAAAACAAGGAAAAGCAAAGAGGUAUCCUAACACAAAACGAGGAAAAGCAAAGAGGUAUCCUACACUAAACGAGGAAAAGCAAAGAGGUAUCCUACACAAAACGAGGAAAAGCAAAGAGGUAUCCUACACUAAACGAGGAAAAGCAAAGAGGUAUCCUACACAAAACGAGGAAAAGCAAAGAGGUAUCCUAACACAAAACGAGGAAAAGCAAAGGGGUAUCCUAACACAAAACGUAAAAAAACAAAGUGGUAUCCUAACACAAAACGAGGAAAAGCAGAGGUAUCCUAACACAAAACGAGAAAAGCAAAUAGGUAUCCUAACACAAAACGAGGAAAAGCAAAGAGGUAUCCUAACACAAAACGAGAAAAAGCAAAGGGGUAUCCUAACACAAAACGUAAAAAAACAAAGUGGUAUCCUAACACAAAACGAGGAAAAACAAAGAGGUAUCCUACACAAAACG